UAGGGUUUAGGAUGGUUAUCUAGUGACAGUGCAGUAGGGUUUAGGAUGGUUAUCUAGGGAGAGUGCAGUAGGGUUUAGGAUGGUUAUCUAGGGAGAGUGCCAUAGGUUUAGGAUGGUUAUCUAGGGAGAGUGCAGUAGGGUUUAGGAUGGUUAUCUAGUGACAGUGCAGUAGGGUUUAGGAUGGUUAUCUAGGGAGAGUGCAGUGGGGUUUAGGAUGGUUAUCUAGUGAGAGUGCAGUAGGGUUUAGGAUGUUAUCUAGGGAGAAUGCAGUAGGUUUAGAUGGUUAUCUAGGGAGAGUGCAGUAGGGUUUAGGAUGGUUAUCUAGGGAGAGUGCAGUGGGGUUUAGGCUGGUUAUCUAGGGAGAGUGCAGUAAGGGUUUAGGGUUUAUCAGGAUGUGGCAGAAAAACAAUGCGUUUGAGUGCUGAGGACAUUCAUUCUUAAUACUUCUGAGAGACAUUUUGUCUUAAAAGAUUUUCUGUUAAAUAAAGAAGUAUUAAUAUCAACACACAAAAACAAGAGAUUUAUAAGCUGCAUAAUGUCAUCGGAAUAAACGACCUAAAUAGUUUAAACAGCCUCGCUCUGGGACUGCAGCGCUGUAGGAUAAACAACAGAUUAGACUCUAUUUGCAUUACAAAUGUACAUACAAUAAACAGGAUGAGGCAGGAGCGUUCGCCGAGACAACUAUCAAGAAAGUCUUGCCAAAAUGUUGCCAACACCAUUAACAUCCUGCGCAUCAAAUAUUAAUGCUGUCUUACAAAAUGUUGUUGGACUACUUAAUAAAAAACAAAACAAAACAAAACAAGCAGCUACACAGAAACAGAAACAGCGACACAGAAGCAAAACAUGACAUAGAAAAUAGCCUAAUUAAAGCUGGUUUAUUAACAAUAAAGAGUGUGAAAAAUGUCCGUCCUCAGCACAGUAAAAAAACGCUACCAAGUGCUCUAAGCCUGGGGUGAAAAGGGCUAUAUGUAUAAGUGAUGUAGGGUGUAGUGGAGUUAUAUAGGGUCUAGUGUAAAAUACUCAUAUUAGGCUUCUGGUGUCUUCCAGAGGGGCUUCUGUAUCUGUCCCUCAUCGAAGGAGGUGUGGCCGCUGUAUCUGUUUAUCUCAUCGAAGAAGGUGUGGCCUCUGUGUCUGUCAGUCCCAGUGAAGGAGGUGUGGCCUCUGUGUCUGUCUAUCUAAUUGAAGGAGGUGUGGCCACUGUAUCUGUCUAUCUCAUUGAAGGAGGUGUGGAGUCUGUAUCUUUCAAUCUCAUUGAAGAAGGUGUGGCCUCUGUAGCUGUCUGUCCCAGUGAAGGAGGUGUGGCCUCUGUGUUUGUCUGUCCCAGUGAAGGAGGUUUCGCCUCUGUGUCUGUCUGUCCCAGUGAAGAAGGUGUGGCUUCUGUGUCUGUCAGUCCCAGUGAAGGAGGUGUGGACUCUGUGUCUGUCUGUCCCAGUGAAGGAGGUGUGGCCUCUGUGUCUGUCUGUCCCAGUGAAGAAGGUGUGGCUUCUGUGUCUGUCAGUCCCAGUGAAGGAGGUGUGGCCUCUGUGUCUGUCUGUCCCAGUGAAGGAGGUGUGGCCUCUAUGCCUCAGUCCCAUUUAAGUGGGAAUAGCCUCUGUGCCUCUCCAUCCCAGUAAAAGAGGCAUGGCCUGAUAGUUUUGCCUGCCUUAGUGAACGAGGCGUGGCUUCUCUAUCUGCCUAUCUUGUUGAAAGACUGCCGUGCCUGUUCGUCCCAAUAAAUGGGGUGUUGCCUCUGUGUCUGUCAGUCCAAGUGAAAAGGGCGUUGCCUAUGCGCCUGUCAGUUCCAAUGAAGUUAGUUGUUGUAGAACAACAAACUAGUUGCAUUUGUUAGUUGUAGAACCAGAUGAUGUUCAGUACUCGAUAUAAGCCAACAGUCCGAAUGUGUUCCUGUCCAUGCCUGCUCCCUACCUGUCCCUGUUUUGAAAAUUGCUUGCUCCUUCUGUUCACAGCUGCGGAUGUGUUAUAAAUAGAGCGGAGGAUUGAUGAGAGGACAGCGAAGCUUGCUGCGUGCUGGUGAUUUCUCCGUAGCGUUUGUCCAGACCCGGCAUCAGUGACAUUAAGCACACGCGCUCGGAGCUAGCAGGCCAUCACUCAGACGGCAGGAGUGUCUGCAUUUGUGCGUGUGUAGGAAGAUCUGAAUGGAAAGGCUGUAAAUUAUAGAGCAGCAGAGCUGCUAACCUCAUGUUGAGUUGUUAUCGUGUUUGCGUGUGUGCGCGCCUGUGGGGAAGCGACGAACCCACGCGUGGCCAGCCUUGUUUGCGUGCGAGCUCGAGCACCUCUUUGCGGCGCACACUCAAUCCCCGCUACGGCCUGAACGGCAAAGCUACUCAAACACAGUGGCAGUAAUGAGGGCAAUUACACAGGCUUAUCUAAAUCACUUGCACACAUGGGCUCAGUAAACACACACACACACACACACACACACACAUGGCAAACACCCCUUUCCCAUUGUGCAUCCACUUGGGCUUGGUUAUUUAUUAUUUAUUAAGUUAAUUAUGUCCCCGGUCAUGUUGACACACUUAACUUGCACUUCAGUGUCAGUGAACACAUGAGGUAUUCAAGCAGAACGCUGGCCACGGACGCACUUCCUUUACACAGUGUCUUAUUACAGUCUGAGAUUUUAGCAGAACCCUUAUCGCUGACCCUUUUACUCCAUUUUAUAACACAGAAAGAGGGCCGGCCCAAAUAGCAGUGGUGCGACACAAAAGCAUCUGCCUCAUUGUCCGGAGAUUGUGAAUUCAAAGCCUGACAGCAAAAUUGCGCUUCCCUUUGAGUGUGUUAUGAAAAGAUGGGAAUGGCUGGUUCCACGUGUCUUGGAAGGAAGCACUUGUGAGACUUCGUCCUCCCUGGAUGGGAGCUGUUCUUUGUUGGGGAGAGCUGACCGUGAGUGGGACUCCAGGAGAAAACGGAGGAGGGGGAAAAGAAAAUGAGGAUCAUUUUAAGUAGGCUCGCUAGUACAGUUCCAAAGAGGCGGCAACGGGAUACGCACUAACAGCGUAUGCAUUAGUGUGAUGUGCAUGUCAAAGAGUUAUGUUGGUUAUAUACAGUGUGUACAAUCCGUGAUUAAAAUAAAAUAAAAACCAGCCUGAUUACUUUAGAGGAGUGUAAAAAAAACAGCCUACACUGUAAGCGUGUAGCCGUGCGACAAUGACAAAGGUACUUACACCACAACUACCAAGAAAAUGUCAUCAUCAUAACUCACAUUUAGCUAGCUGUACUGCUUGUGUCACAGAUACAUCUGACUCAUACAGAUGAUGUAUCAUACAGAUACAUCUGACUCUAACCACCUUCAUACAGAUACAUCUGACU
ensembl:lncRNA